AUUGAACGCUGGCGGCAGGCUUAACACAUGCAAGUCGAGCGGGGUGAUGGUGCUUGCACUAUCACUUAGCGGCGGACGGGUGAGUAAUGCUUAGGAAUCUGCCUAUUAGUGGGGGACAACAUCUCGAAAGGGAUGCUAAUACCGCAUACGUCCUACGGGAGAAAGCAGGGGAUCACUUGUGACCUUGCGCUAAUAGAUGAGCCUAAGUCGGAUUAGCUAGUUGGUGGGGUAAAGGCCUACCAAGGCGACGAUCUGUAGCGGGUCUGAGAGGAUGAUCCGCCACACUGGGACUGAGACACGGCCCAGACUCCUACGGGAAGCAGCAGUGGGGAAUAUUGGACAAUGGGGGGAACCCUGAUCCAGCCAUGCCGCGUGUGUGAGGAAGGCCUUAUGGUUGUAAAGCACUUUAAGCGAGGAGGAGGCUCUUUUGGUUAAUACCCAAAAUGAGUGGACGUUACUCGCAGAAUAAGCACCGGCUAACUCUGUGCCAGCCGCCGCCGUAA
rnacentral:rRNA from 1 species